ACUCAAAUGAAUUGACGGGGGCCCGCACAAGCAGCGGAGCAUGUUGUUUAAUUCGAGGCAACGCGAAGAACCUUACCAGGUCUUGACAUCGAUGUAAAUCCUAAGAGAUUAGGGGAGCCUUCGGGCAACAGAAGACAGGUGGUGCAUGGUUGUCGUCAGCUCGUGUCGUGAGAUGUUGGGUUAAGUCCCGCAACGAGCGCAACCCUUAUGGUCAGUUACUAACAGGUAAAGCUGAGGACUCUGACGAGACUGCCGGGGACAACUCGGAGGAAGGUGGGGACGACGUCAAAUCAUCAUGCCCCUUAUGACCUGGGCUACAAACGUGCUACAAUGGUGGCAACAAAGAGGAGCGAGCCCGCGAGGGUAAGCGGAUCUCAAAAAAGCCAUCCCAGUUCGGAUUGUGGGCUGCAACCCGCCCACAUGAAGUUGGAGUUGCUAGUAAUCGCGAAUCAGAAUGUCGCGGUGAAUACGUUCCCGGGCCUUGUACACACCGCCCGU
rnacentral:rRNA from 1 species